UACGUAGGGGGCUAGCGUUGUCCGGAAUCAUUGGGCGUAAAGAGCGUGUAGGCGGUCCGGUAAGUCCGCUGUGAAAGUCGGGGGCUCAACCCUCGAAUGCCGGUGGAUACUGUCGGGCUAGAGUGCGGAAGAGGCGAGUGGAAUUCCUGGUGUAGCGGUGAAAUGCGUAGAUAUCGGGAGGAACACCAGUGGCGAAGGCGGGUCUCUGGGCAGUAACUGACGCUGAGGAGCGAAAGCGUGGGGAGCGAACAGG
rnacentral:rRNA from 1 species